UAAUCCUCAGUGUUGAGGGUCGUGGCCU
rnacentral:sRNA from 1 species